UCCUGGCUCAGGAUGAACGCUGGCGGCGUGCUUAACACAUGCAAGUCGAACGAUGAAGCCCAGCUUGCUGGGUGGAUUAGUGGCGAACGGGUGAGUAACACGUGAGUAACCUGCCCUUAACUCUGGGAUAAGCCUGGGAAACUGGGUCUAAUACCGGAUAGGAGCGUCCACCGCAUGGUGGGUGUUGGAAAGAUUUAUCGGUUUUGGAUGGACUCGCGGCCUAUCAGCUUGUUGGUGAGGUAAUGGCUCACCAAGGCGACGACGGGUAGCCGGCCUGAGAGGGUGACCGGCCACACUGGGACUGAGACACGGCCCAGACUCCUACGGGAGGCAGCAGUGGGGAAUAUUGCACAAUGGGCGCAAGCCUGAUGCAGCGACGCCGCGUGAGGGAUGACGGCCUUCGGGUUGUAAACCUCUUUCAGUAGGGAAGAAGCGAAAG
rnacentral:rRNA from 1 species